ACAUUGAUGUCGUGAAGCAGAUCUUACUUAAUAAUUGUUUUCCGACACACAUUGUUAAUCGUUAUAUUUGUAAGAGACUGAAUUUUUUGAAACACCGGAGCAGUAGCAUUCUAGGUGAUGGGGAAAUUGAUACAGACAAACCCUCCUACAUCGCACUACCGUUUGUCGAAGGCUUGAGUGACGAUGUUGGUCGGUUGCUUAAAAAUAUGGGACUGACAGUGGUUUACAAUAUACCUAAAAAAUUAAAUUCAUUGAUUAAACGCGGCAAGGACAGUUUGCCUAUUAGCAAUAGAACGGAGGUUGUUUACAAAAUAAAUUGUAAGAAUUGUAGCGCUUCAUAUAUUGGCCAGACAAAAAGACACUUAAGCACCCGAGUCAAGGAACAUUGUAAUAAUAUAAAAAAGCACGAAAGUAAUUUAUCCGUAAUUAGCAAACACAAACUAAAAUUUGAUCAUGACUUCGAUUGGUCAGCGCCUGAUAUUCUACAUAACGAAAAACAUGUAAGAAAGAGAGAAAUAGCUGAAAUGUUUUUUAUUAAAAAAUUUGACAACACUAUUAAUUCCCAAAAAGAUACAGAGAAUUUAAACAACAUAUACGAUAAAUUAAUAAAGGUCGUUUAGUUGAUCUCAGUAUUCCAAACAUAGUGGUUGACACAAUGUCAGUUUGACAUUUCGAUUUUUCUCUUUCUACUUUUUAAUUAUAACUUUCACUUGAUAAGGACCAAAACCAUAUGGUCGAAACGUCGUGAUAUAAUAAUCAAACAAUAAAUUGCCAGUUUGGUCGUAUAAACACUUGUUUAUAUAUAUAUAUAUAUAAUGAUGCGGAAAAUUUGACGAAUAAUGUUGAAUUAAAAGUGAAAACCCAUCACUAAAGGAAACGGAACGGAGUUACGGUUUCCGUUAAACUUUGAAGUGCUAGUUAAUAUUAUGAUUUGAGAGGAUCCUGCAAAGUUUCUCCUGAACAAGAGAAUCUCAGAUUUCUGCUGUAUUCAUAUAAAAAUAUUUCCUGAUAUACAUCGUUUCGUUCAAUAUUGAUGAAUCAUGCAAAAGUUGCAAUGAUUUAUGCUUGCAUGGAGAAAUUUGCCUUUGUAAGAUCAAAUAAAACAUUUUCAUAUAUCGCUGUCACUAUUCUACUUGGCAAAACAAAAAGAAGCCGUCAUCGCGAGGAGCAAACCGUUCAUGCAUAUGUUAUAACAAAGCAAGUAGAAAAUCCAUACUUCACAGGCUUUCGCUUCCUUUUUUCUCCACUUCCUUUCUUAAACUUUCAAAGCCUUCAUUGGCGCAUCUUAUAUAGCUACCACAGAAAGAGAUUCAAAUGUAAA